rnacentral:rRNA from 1 species
UUCCGGUUGAUCCUGCCGGACCUGACUGCUAUCGGAUUGAUACUAAGCCAUGCGAGUCUUUGUAGUAAUACAAGGCAUACGGCUCAGUAACACGUAGUCAACCUACCCUAUGGACGAGAAUAAUCUCGGGAAACUGAGCAUAAUUCUUGAUAGAUCAUAAUGCCUGGAAUGGUUUAUGAUUAAAAUGAUUCGUCGCCAUAGGAUGGGACUGCGGCCUAUCAGCUUGUUGGUGAGGUAAUAGCCCACCAAGGCGAUUGCAGGUACGGGCUCUGAGAGGAGAAGCCCGGAGAUGGGUACUGAGACACGGACCCAGGCCCUAUGGGGCGCAGCAGGCGAGAAAACUUUGCAAUGUGCGAAAGCACGACAAGGUUAAUCCGAGUGAUUUCUGCUAAAGAAAUCUUUUGCUAGUCGUAAAACCACUGGUGAAUAAGGGGUGGGCAAGUUCUGGUGUCAGCCGCCGCGGUAAAACCAGCACCUCAAGUGGUCAGGAUGAUUAUUGGGCCUAAAGCAUCCGUAGCCUGCUUUGUAAGUUUUCGGUUAAAUCCAUGUGCUCAACGCAUGGGCUGCCGAAAAUACUGCAUAGCUAGGGAGUGGGAGAGGUAGACGGUACUCAGUAGGUAGGGGUAAAAUCCUUUGAUCUAUUGAUGACCACCUGUGGCGAAGGCGGUCUACCAGAACACGUUCGACGGU